CUGGCCUUGACAUCCAGAGAACUUUCCAGAGAUGGAUUGGUGCCUUCGGGAACUCUGAGACAGGCGCUGCAUGGCCGUCGUCAGCUCGUGUCGUGAGAUGUUGGGUUAAGUCCCGUAACGAGCGCAACCCCUAUCCCUGGUUGCUAGCAGGUAAUGCUGAGAACUCCAGGGAGACUGCCGGUGACAAACCGGAGGAAGGUGGGGAUGACGUCAGGUCAUCAUGGCCCUUACGGCCAGGGCUACACACGUGCUACAAUGGCGCGUACAGAGGGCUGCCAACUCGCGAGAGUGAGCCAAUCCCUUAAAACGCGUCGUAGUCCGGAUCGGAGUCUGCAACUCGACUCCGUGAAGUCGGAAUCGCUAGUAAUCGCGAAUCAGAAUGUCGCGGUGAAUACGUUCCC
rnacentral:rRNA from 1 species